rnacentral:rRNA from 1 species
GGGGAAUAUUGCACAAUGGACGGAAGUCUGAUGCAGCAACGCCGCGUGCGGGAUGAAGGCCUUCGGGUUGUAAACCGCUUUCACCUCCGGCGAAUUUGACGGUAGGAGGAGAAGAAGCACCGGCUAACUACGUGCCAGCAGCCGCGGUGAUACGUAGGGUGCGAGCGUUGUCCGGAUUUAUUGGGCGUAAAGAGCUCGUAGGUGGUUGUUUGCGUCGGAAGUGAAAACCUAGCGCUUAACGGUGGGCUUGCUUUCGAUACGGGAUGACUUGAGGGAUGUAGGGGAGAACGGAAUUCCUGGUGGAGCGGUGGAAUGCGCAGAUAUCAGGAGGAACACCGGUGGCGAAGGCGGUUCUCUGGACAUUUCCUGACGCUGAGGAGCGAAAGCGUGGGGAGCAAAC